rnacentral:rRNA from 1 species
AACGAACGCUGGCGGCAGGCUUAACACAUGCAAGUCGAACGCGUGUAGCAAUACACGAGUGGCGCACGGGUGAGUAACGCGUGGAUACCUGCCUUUUGGUUCGGAAUAACCCCGGGAAACUGGGGCGUAAUACCGGAUGGUUCCUUCGGGAUAAAGAUUUAUCGCCAAAAGAAUGAGUCCGCGUCCGAUUAGCUAGUUGGUGAGGUAAUGGCUCACCAAGGCGACGAUCGGUAGCUGGUCNGAGAGGACGAUCAGCCACACUGGGACUGAGACACGGCCCAGACUCCUACGGGA